GCCGAAGUAGCUCAGAUGGCAGAGCGGCGCACUCGUAAUGCGCAGGUCUGGAGUUCGAUUCUCCACUUCGGCU
rnacentral:tRNA from 1 species